rnacentral:rRNA from 1 species
UUUAAGCUUCCUACGGGAGGCUGCAGUGGGGAAUCUUGCGCAAUGGGCGAAAGCCUGACGCAGCCAUGCCGCGUGAAUGAUGAAGGUCUUAGGAUUGUAAAAUUCUUUCACCGGGGACGAUAAUGACGGUACCCGGAGAAGAAGCCCCGGCUAACUUCGUGCCAGCAGCCGCGGUAAUACGAAGGGGGCUAGCGUUGCUCGGAAUUACUGGGCGUAAAGGGAGCGUAGGCGGACAUUUAAGUCAGGGGUGAAAUCCCGGGGCUCAACCUCGGAAUUGCCUUUGAUACUGGGUGUCUUGAGUAUGAGAGAGGUGUGUGGAACUCCGAGUGUAGAGGUGAAAUUCGUAGAUAUUCGGAAGAACACCAGUGGCGAAGGCGACACACUGGCUCAUUACUGACGCUGAGGCUCGAAAGCGUGGGGAGCAAACAGGAUUAGAUACCCUUGUAGUCGAAUUU